UUGACCUCGGAUCAGGUAGGAUUACCCGCUGAACUUAAGCAUAUCAAUAAGCGGAGGAAAAGAAACCAACAGGGAUUGCCCCAGUAACGGCGAGUGAAGCGGCAACAGCUCAAAUUUGAAAUCUGGCCUUCGGGUCCGAGUUGUAAUUUGGAGAGGAUGCUUUUGGCGCGGCGCCGUCCGAGUUCCUUGGAACAGGACGCCAUAGAGGGUGAGAGCCCCGUACGGGCGGCCGCCUAGCCUUUGUAAAGCUCCUUCGACGAGUCGAGUAGUUUGGGAAUGCUGCUCAAAAUGGGAGGUAAAUUUCUUCUAAAGCUAAAUACCGGCCAGAGACCGAUAGCGCACAAGUAGAGUGAUCGAAAGAUGAAAAGCACUUUGAAAAGAGGGUUAAAAAGUACGUGAAAUUGUUGAAAGGGAAGCGCCUGUGACCAGACUUGCGACCCGUGGAUCAUCCAGUGUUCUUCACCGGUGCACUCCGCGGGCUGCAGGCCAGCAUCGGUUUUCCUAGGGGGAUAAAGGUCGCAGGAACGUAGCUCUUUCGGGAGUGUUAUAGCCUGUGGCGUCAUGCCUCUGGGGAGACCGAGGACCGCGCUUCGGC
rnacentral:rRNA from 1 species